CACGUAGGCGGGUAUUUAAGUCAGGGGUGAAAUCCCAGAGCUCAACUCUGGAACUGCCUUUGAUACUGGGUACCUAGAGUAUGGAAGAGGUAAGUGGAAUUCCCGGUGUAACGGUGGAAUGUGUAGAUAUCGGGAAGAACACCAAUGGCGAAGGCAGGUCUCUGGGCCGUCACUGACGCUGAGGAGCGAAAGCGUGGGGAGCGAACA
rnacentral:rRNA from 1 species